rnacentral:piRNA from 1 species
UGAGUUGGGAAGUCUUACUCAUGAG